AGGGUUAGAAGGCCUGCUCAGGAUGGGGAGCUUGGGGGCCUGGGCUGGGGGGUUGGAGAGGGGCCUCGCUGGGGCCAGGGGGAAGCUUUGGGCAGGUGCGGAAGUGGCCUCUGAGUCCUCCUUGGCCAGGGGAAUCUCCUCAAGGGUUUGCCUGUUGAAUGAGAUUGGGGUCAUGGCUCUGGGACCUUCCCUCCCUCUGUCACUGGCCCCUGGGGUUCUCGUGUCCUUCCCUGCAAGAGGCUGAGGGUGCAGAGGCACAUCCCACCAGGUCCCUCUUUGGCAAAACAAGUGAGCUGUCCUGGGGCCAUUGGAGAGGCUGAGGCUUGGCCCCCCAGGCUCGGGCCUCCCUCAGAGGCACCCGUGGCAGAUACUCAGGAGGAGAAUGGGGCCCUUGGAUGUCUCUGUGGUUAUUGGUACAGUGCUUUGUGCGGGGCUUGAACGUGUCUCCACAGCGUUUUCAGAGGCACAUCAGGACCUGGGGGGAUGCUCUGCUGUUCCUACGGUGUUUUGUUGGAGAGGGUGGCUAGUUUGAGAAACCUAGUUUGCUUCACGGAGUAGUGUGUUUCUGUCCUGGAGGCAGAAGGCCGCUAUAGUCCAGAAGGCUCCAGAGGGGCCCUAACAGCUGAGAGGAGCCCACUGGCCUCUUCUCUCCAUUCAGGUCUCCAGAAUGUUCCCAGGACAAUACACGUCUUGGUCCAGGACACGGGGAGCCCGGGUCUUCUUUCCUGCUAUAUUCUCUGGCCCCAGAGUUGGUCAUUCCCGGUCUGGAAAGAGUAGCGGUUGAUAGAAAGGAAAGCAAUUUAGCUUUCAGGGCCACCCUCAGAUAGGGUGGUGAAAAUAGCUCUUUCAGAGCACGAGGUCCCUCGGAGACAGAUAGGCAGGCCCUGAGGGCAGCCUCCCACCCGGUGCACCCCGCUUCCCGGUUCUGCGAGUCAGGAGCAGAGCAGGGGAUUCCCUGGGAGUUGGACCUUCUCAUUGAUUUUGGAUCAUCCUGUCACCCCUCCCCCUGAAAUCAGAGGAGGUGAGGAGGGGAUGGAGGGUGGCAGGACACCGGAUCUUGCCGCUUCUCCACUUAACAAAUCCCGGGGCACCUCUGAAGUUGUAAGGGAAACAAGAGGAAGGUGGUAAAGUGUAAAAGGGGGGUGUAUCUGGGAUCACCCCACAGAGGUGCGUGGGGGGCAUGUCCCUCCGUCAAGCUGAUGUUUAUUUUAUUUUANUAUUUUAUUUUAUUUUUUUUUUAAAGAUUUUAUUUACUUAUUUGAUAGAGAGACAGCCAGCGAGAGAGGGAACACAAGCAGGGGGAGUGGGAGAGGAAGAAGCAGGCUCACAGCAGAGGAGCCUGAUGUGGGGCUCGAUCCCAUAACGCCAGGAUCACGCCCUGAGCCGAAGGCAGACGCUUAACCGCUGUGCCACCCAGGCGCCCCAUGAUGUUUAUACCCAAAGCCUUUUGAUUCUCCAAAGUGGCUGUUAACCCAGGCGGGGGCUGACUUUCCAUGGCAGGAAGGAAAAUAUGAUUCGUAGUUAUUUGGUGGGGACUCUCCUAGGAAGCCUUAAGCCGGAAAUCUUCUGGGACUUUGUAAAGGAUCUGAGACAAUUGACAAGACACAAAGGUUUUUCUAGGGGUUUUAGGCGAAGCCUGCCUUCUUCCCUGGUAGCGGAGGGGAAAGCAGAGGGUCUCGCUGAACGUGGAAAGAUAGGAUCACCAGGAGGAAGGAAGUGGGGGAGAACCAGGGUCGCUGAGUUGAGACAGACACGGUGUGCUGAGGGGAGGAACAGCCCUGGCUGGGGCCUCCGCUGCCCGGUCUGCGCAUGGGGGCUGGAAGCCUCCCUUUGGUGGCUCCGCGUACUUUCAGGCACUGUUGCUGGAGGCAGGCCUGAGGCCAGAGACUCAAGAUGACUUUCCCUUUCCGUGCCAGUCCUUGCUUCCUGGUUAGAGGUGCCCCGUGCACACCUAGGCUGCAGUCGAGCGGACCUGGGCAGGAGUCCAGGCUCUGCCACUUUCCAGGGUGUGACCUUAGCCACUCUGGCCCUCGGUUUCCUUGUCUGCAAACAGGGCCAGUCACAGUCCUUGCCCCCGUGCUUAUUGUGAGAAUUAUGGGAGGUGACAUUUGCCCUGCGGUUGGCACUGGACCAAGCCCAGGGUUGUCGUCUUUGACGUUGUUACCGUGACCAUCCUUCUCUCAGCCGGGGGUGUGGGGCAGGGGUGAGCCCUGGUGUCUGCAAGGAGUUGAGAACUGAGGCCGAGACUGCAGAAUUCGGACAGAUACAAACUUCUCCUGGUCCCAAAGUUUCUCCCGAGCCUAGGUCUCAGUCUUUUACACAGCGCCCACUCCCUGACUUUUAAAAUUUAAAAAUAGUGCAAGUCAUGGAUGAUUUGCGCUUUCAGAGGUUGACGGCCGUUUUCUUUGCUCUCCAUUUGCUUCCCUUGGUUUCCUCCCCCUUGCUGGGGCACCUCUUACAGCAUGGUGGGGGGUGCUGUGUCCCCUGCACCCAUUUGUCCUGGGCCCGAACUCCCAGCUGGGGUAGGACCAGCCCUGGAGAGAGGGCAGAGCUGUGUGCAGCCACCCCUCCUGGGCUCAGGCCCCGGGGGCAGAACAGCCGACCACCCUGGCUCUGGGACCUGGCCGGUCCCCUGGUGUCGUGUGUCAGCUGUCAGUGGGGAUAGGGAAAAGAAGUCCCCACAGGCGGCCCUGAGGGCCCAGGGAGAGGACAGUUCUAGGUGACCACACUGUGGCUGCAACGCUGAGUUGGAAGCAGCUCCACUUAGGACUCAUCGGCCAAAUCCUAUUAAAAAGUGGAAUUACCAGAGAGCAUGGCUCCUCUGAUCCGUGGGCAGAGCUCCCUAUGCGACCGGUGCCCUCUGGAAAUGAAAGGGGCUCGUUUAGAGAAAGGCCGAUGUCAGCUCCUUCUUGAGCGUAAAUGGAAGCAAUUUAGGCGCAAUCCUCCCAAACCCAAAUGAUGCUUUUUCAUCUUUUCAAGGCCUGUGACCCGACGGAAGGCGAGAGGUGGUCAGGUGGGCCUGAGCAGAGACUGCAGGAUGGCCACAGCUGCCCCCCCGCGGCCCCCACCGUGGGCUGUAUGAAGUGGAGCAGUGGCCCUAGACCCGCCCACUUGGUGCCAGGAGCAUUCCGCCCCCGCCAGGACCACCAAACUGUCUCCAGACAUUGCCCGAUGUCCCUGGGAGGGGUGCAGAGUCACCCCUGACUGAGAACCACCAGCCAAGACCCUCACAAUUGGAAUUAUUAAAAUGAAAUCCUCGCCCUGGGCCUUCGUGGCCCCAGGGAGAGGGCAGCCAGGUGGCAAAGGUUAAGGUUAGGGCUUCUGUCCUUUACAAACAGGCUUGUAUUAAAAAUAUUAAUCCGAAAUGCUGAACUGAAACUCGUAAUACCCCUGCACGUUAUCCCUGCUUAAAAUUAAUCUCUAAUCCGGGAGAACUUUUUAGAAGGGCGUCCUGGGUUUGCACGGUGCGGAGCAGAGCGAUCUGCCCGCCGCCUCAGUAAUACCCCGCUUCCUACAGACGGGAGCGAUCAAAUGGGGAGUCUCUCCACGCCAGCUUCACAGGAUUCUAUAUGGUUUUCGACCGACCCACAUUGCUUUACAAGCCACCCCCCCCAAACUGUUGGAGACACCUGCCUCCACAAGCCCGUCCUCCACGAUUCCUCAACCGCCACCUGUCAGCUGGCACCGCCUUCGAAGUGACAAGUCACAAUUUCUAGCCUGUGUGGGAGAUGCUGCAUGUUGUCCCUAGCUUGCCCUCCUCUGGGGCCCCCAGGGAGGCUGGCGCAUGGCUGAGGCCAAGGCCAGGGCUAGCUGGGGGUUAAGGGGAGAGGAGAGCUCGAGAGAGAGGGUCUCCGUGGGUGGACGGUGCUCGUCCAGCAGGGCGUGGAUCCCAGCCCGCACCCUGCACUGGUGCUGUGAACUUGGGGCCGGUCUCUUCACCCUUCCGAGCCUCUCUGUUCCUAUCUAUGAAAUGAGGAGCACGGUCCUUCCCUCCCCGGCUGUCGUGAGGAGUAAAUGAGAUGGUGCGCAGUAAGAGCUCAGUAAGGUGCCUGGUGCGCUCCACGCCCUCAAUCCGUGGCCCUGUCAAUGGCAGACUACUACCAGUUCGUUAUUAAUCCUGCAGUGCUUGGCGGAGUCAGCAGAACGAUUGCUGUAGCAGAGCUGGGCUCUCUCCUGGGCUGGGUUUCGCAGACCUGCCUACCGCGUGAGAGCCGUGAGUGAUGAGAUGUGCAAGGAAGGGUCUUUCCAGCCAGAACUUGUGGUGACACCUGCCGUCAGGGCCGUGGGAAACUGGUGGGAAGGGGCUGGGGAGGGGUGGAGGGACUGAGGUUUCAGGUGGAGUGGGGGGACACUGGAGCUAGCUGCGUGAUGUGCCCAGCUGCCCCGGCUCCCCUUCCUCUCUUGUUUCCCCAGGAUGUCAUGGGGUCAUUUUAUGAUGAGGAAACUGCCUCUGAGACCUGAGGCCACUUGCCCAAGGGGGCUUGCUCUGCUCCAGUGGGGGACCACGUGGCCUCUUCCUGCAGCCGUGGGCCUGCACAGAACAAUCGAGGAUGAAGCUUCCUCUCUGGGACCGGAAGGUGGCCUCCCCCAUCUGCUGGGCCCUGGCGGAGGCGAGGGCGGCAUGGGUGGGAGAGGGAAGUCCUUGUUUCCAGGCUUUGGGGUGGGAGGAAGCGGGGGGGGCGCCUGCCCGGCCCAGAGAGAGCUCCCCAUGGACCGGCCCUAGCCAAGCGACAGCUCUAACCCUCAUCUUCUGAGUGGCGAAAACAAAAGCAGGCUGCACCCGGAGACGUGCAAGGAGGGACCCGACCGCCGUAGUAAUCAGGGAAAUAACAAAUUAAAUCCUGAGAUCCUUUGUUAUUCACUGAUCAGACCCGGGUAGAAAUGAAACUGAUCACUAAUGCCCCGUGUUGGGGUGGGGGGAAGUGGACAGCCUCACACGCUGUUGGAGGGGGCACGAUGUAGGCAGCUUCUAGAAGGUGGGUUUGGCUGGAUCUAUGACAAUUUCAAACAUACAUGCCCUUCAGUGCUGUUUGCUUGUAGAGUUUGUCUUACAGAGACUUGGAGCACCUGGCCCGGUGCCUGACAUAUAGUAGGCGGACGGAAAAAAAUAUCUCCUGGCCGAAAAAAAGAAAAAAUUGCCUAAUGCACAGUCGGAAGAGCCAGGGCAUAAGGAUGUAGGCCAGGCACCAGGGCAAAUCCCGGAGGCCCGCCCCUGCCCUCUUGAGAUCAUCAGCAAACGAUCCCAUGAUUAUUUAAUCAGUCCUGUGCAUGUGCCAGGAAGCAGCAGGACGAGGACGGAGUGGCAUCGGAUAUGGGGCCACCUGACCUGUGGGUAGGGCCAAGGUGGGCUUCCCUGGGGGCUCUGGAGCUGAGCCAUGAGUGUCCUGGCUGGUACAGGAGGAGGAGGGGCACAGCCCAUUAGAGGAACCGGGAGUGGCUGGUGGGUCUGGAGCCUGGGGAGGGUGUGUGUGUGUGUGUGUGUGUACGCGUACACGCGCACAUGCACUCCCUCACAAGGGGUCCUGAGCUUUGAUUGCAUUGGCUUUAAGGGCCAUGAGGAGUCAUGGCAGUGUUGGAGUUAGGGACGGUGCGAACAGAUUUGUGUUCUUAAAAGAUCACUUGGGCUUCUGGGGAACUGCAGGAGGCAGGAGUAGAGGCUGGGAGACCUGGGUGGAGGUCCCGGCCAGGGUGAAGGCAAAGAGAAUGGGGGCAUCCAGAGAUGAGAGGGAGAGUCAAGGAGGUGCUGGAUGCCCAGGGGGUGCAGGGUCCUCCAGUGGCAGGUGCUCUGCAAACACUGAUGAUGGGUGCUCUGCAAACAUUUGGUGAGUGGAUGAUGGAUGGGGACUGCUGCAGGAACAGGGGUGUGAAGGAGGCUGAGGAGUCUGAUUCAGAUGUGAUACGAGGGGAUCCCAGAGCAUUCAAGCCCAGACUGGCCUGCUGUCCUUUGGAUUCUCACACUUAGGAGGACAAGGGCAGGAGUGUGACAGGUGGCCCGUGGCAGCAGGGUGGUUUCCUGGGUGUGCAGACUGCAUGGUCGCGCUGGGCCCGUGCUCCGGAGGGCCCCUCGCAUGGUUCAGUGCUCUGCUGCUGCCACGUUGAAAUGCUUCAUUUUCGAACAAGUGAUCUUGAGUUUUUGCUUCGCACUGGGUCACACAAGUUCUUUAGCUGGUCAUGCCCUGAAGACCAGAGGAAGCCGGCGAACAGAGCAAGGAGGUAGACACAAGGGAGACCAGUGUCUUCUGCUGGCCUGUGCGAAAGUGGACACGAGCCACCCAGGGGUCUGGAGAGAAGGCAGCUGGGGGCAGGUGGGAACAAAGUCUGUGAACUCGGGGCAGGGACAGGCAUGUCUUCACUUACUCACAAAAUGCCUCUACUCCCAGUCGACCCACUGGCUGAGCAUUUGUGGGCAUCCUGGUCCUGGGAGGCUAGCUCACCCCUUUCAGUGGCCUCUGUGUACUGGAGCCUACCAGUAGUAUCUCUGCUCUGCAAACAGGAGAAGGUUCAGGGUGUGCAGGGCUGGGGUCCCAGCUCGCCCCUCCAUGCCGUGGAGCAAAGAACUGAGGGUCUGCCUUGAAGUCCAAGGUCAUUCUGGAGCCAACAGGGAAUCUUAGAGGAGGCAGCGACUGUAUGGACUUCAUUCCCUUCGAAGCAUGUAUCGUCCAAAAACUGUAACUGGGGUUGAAAAAGCUUUAGGCCAGUCAGGGCUGGCACACCUCUAAAUGCUUCCCUCAGAUGGUUUCUGGAAGCUUCCAUGUAUUGCCAUUUAUAUUGACGCAUUUAAUCAUUGCAAAAACCUUGCAAGGUGGGUAGGAUUAUCCACAGUUAACCGAUGAGAAAACAGAGGAUUGGAGAUUUGUAACUUAAUCAGUAGCUGGGCUGGGGCUGGAUCCAGCCUGGUCUGUGUCCCCCAGAAGUUGUGCCCUUACCCGAGUUCCCUCCCACCUCCUUGACGAGGGGGAGGGACGGGGACUGGGACCUCGGGGAGCAGAGGCGGCCCGUGCUGGCCUGUGAUGAUUUGAAGGCAGACGUCCCGGGAUUUGCUUCUGAGUAAUAUUCCACAUGAGACACGGCUGUUUGCCAGCUCAUGAGGACUGUCACCUGUCUGUGACUGAGCCAAGACUCAGGCAUUUGGGGGCUGGGGGAGGGAAGCAAACCUGAGGCUGGUGCCGAGUCCCACUCCCUCAAAACAAGCCGGCUCUUAGGCAUUGAAAGGGGGCCAUGGAAGAGCAAAGUUCCUUUUGCAAGUUUACUUUCUGCCUUUUUAUUAUUAUUAUUUUUAUUUAUUUAUUUAUUUAUUUAUUUAUUUAUUUAUUUAUUUAUGUAGGCUCCAUGUGGAGCCCAACUUGGGGCUUGAACUCAUGACCCUGAGAUCAAGACCUAACCUGAGGUCAAUAGUCAGAUGUUUAACUGACUGAGCCAAGCAGGCACCCUAUUUUCUGCCUUUGAAAAAACCCUUUGCGAGCGGGUACAGCCACCGUGAGAGGACAGAGUGGGUGCAUUCUGGGCACCUAGGCACAGGCAGGGCAAAG